UACGGGGGGGGCAAGCGUUGUUCGGAAUUACUGGGCGUAAAGGGCUCGUAGGCGGCCAACUAAGUCAGACGUGAAAUCCCCAGGCUCAACCUGGGAACUGCGUCUGAUACUGGAUGGCUUGAAUCCGGGAGAGGGAUGCAGAGUUCCAGGUGUAGCGGUGAAAUGCGUAGAUAUCUGGAGGAAUACCGGUGGCGAAGGCGGCAUCCUGGACCGGCAUUGACGCUGAGGAGCGAAAGCGUGGGGAGCAAACAGG
rnacentral:rRNA from 1 species